AGAGUUUGAUCCUGGCUCAGGAUGAACGCUAGCGGCAGGCUUAAUACAUGCAAGUCGAGGGGCAGCAGGUCCGUAGCAAUACGGAUGCUGGCGACCGGCAAACGGGUGCGGAACACGUACACAACCUUCCUUUAAGUGGGGAAUAGCCCGGGGAAACCCGGAUUAAUACCCCGUAAUAUAAUGAGGUGGCAUCACUUUAUUAUUAUAGCUCCGGCGCUUGAAGAUGGGUGUGCGACUGAUUAGGCAGUUGGCGGGGUAACGGCCCACCAAACCUACGAUCAGUAACUGGUGUGAGAGCACGACCAGUCACACGGGCACUGAGACACGGGCCCGACUCCUACGGGAGGCAGCAGUAAGGAAUAUUGGUCAAUGGACGCAAGUCUGUACCAGCCAUGCCGCGUGGAGGAUGAAGGUCCUCUGGAUUGUAAACUUCUUUUAUCUGGGAAGAAAUCCACGAAUUCUUUUGUGGUGACGUACCAGAGAAUAGCCCCU
rnacentral:rRNA from 1 species